UACGAAGGGGGCUAGCGUUGUUCGGAAUUACUGGGCGUAAAGGGCGCGUAGGCGGUGUGUCAAGUCUGUCGUGAAAGCCCCGGGCUCAACCUGGGAAUGGCGAUGGAUACUGGCUCGCUAGAGUGCGGUAGAGGAGAGUGGAAUUCCCGGUGUAGCAGUGAAAUGCGUAGAGAUCGGGAGGAACAUCAGUUGCGGAAGGCGGCUCUCUGGACCAGCACUGACACUGAGGCACGAAAGCGUGGGGAGCAAACAGG
rnacentral:rRNA from 1 species